GCUCCAUGCAGGGAGCCUGAUGCGGAACUCGAUCCCGGGUCUCCAGGAUCACGCUGCUUCAGGGAUCCCCUGAAGACAGCUGCUUAACCAACUGAGCCACCCAGGUGUCCAGAGGAUAUUUAGAUAUUAAGGAAAAUUCUAAAGAGGACCAUAUCAAGGAAAGACCUUUAGUGGUGGCAUCUCAGACAUCACACUGGAAUAGCAAAAAACCUGCAUGGAGAUAUCUAGGCCUGGUCAACGGCAACACUGGUAAUUAGCCAGCCCCCCAAGGGGAGCCUGCUGCCACUACCACCCUGCUCCACCCAUAUAUCAUGGGGAAGCCACAGAGGGGGAGACUUUGUUGGAGAGAGGUACACCUACCCCUGUCAGGAGAGACCCCAGGGCCUGACUCUGUACUCCCUAGGAAGGCUGGUAUGGGGCCUGGGCCUUACUCACUUUUCAGGCUUGAGGUCUCUAUAAAUGAUGCCCAAGCUGUGCAGGUGGUCCAGGCCCAAAGCCAGCUCAGCCAGGUAAAACUUCACAUCCUCCUCUGUGAACAUAACCUAUGACAGGCAAGAGGUUGGCAUCAGCUGGGAGUGCCUCUUGCUCAGGAGCAAGGGGAGUGGACAGUUAGCAGUUUCCUGGUCCUUCCUUGGGGAAGACCCUUAGACACCCCAGUGCCAUACACUCUUCUCUUUAUGAAGGCAUGUGAGUAUGAAAUGACUAAUAUACGAGUCACUCACUGUGACACUGCUUGGAAAUAGCAAAAGGGUUGGAAAGAGCCCAACGGUUGAGCAGAAGACUGGAAUAUAUUGUCUCUCCCGUGCAUGAUGGAGUGCUAUGCAGCCAUAAACUAGGACAAGGAGUCUCUCCAUGUUCUGAUAUGGAUUGAUCUCUAAGAUACAUCAUCUCGAACAAGGCAAGAUGCAGAACAGUAUAUACAGGGUAGUACUUUUUGUAAGGAAAUGGGGGUUGGAAUUCAGAACAUGUAUCAGAAUGGUUUGUAUUACUAAAGAAACCUGGGGCACUUAACCAAGAAAUCAAUAAAAAUGUUUACCUAUGGGGGCAUAGAGGGAUGGGGUGGGAGGAAGACUUCUCAAUAUUUUUAUUUUCAAUCAUGUAAACGUAUUACCUAUUCAAACACUAAAAUAACAUUUAAAUUUUUUUAAAAGCGUGUUUCUCUUCUCAAGUUUGACUUAUAUUAAUGGUCCCAUUUUAAUAUCUGGCUCAAAUUCUUUUAUGUCAGUUAAAAUCCUUUUGGUUAACACAUGGGACAUAAUGUUAAAAUAUCUAAAUUUCUGGGCAGAUUUGGAUUUCUUCCCAUCCUCACAGCCCUGCCUAGGGCAACCUCGGAAGAAUGGAGGUACAGAGGUGAAAGAACCCUCAGCUCCUGGGAAUCAGAGUGGCAUCAGAACCAUGGCCUGAUCCUCCUCCUCCAUCCUGGGAGAAACUCUGAGGCUUUGCCAGGGUGUACGCUCUGUCCCAGAGUGGGUUCCUAGGUCGGGUCUGCGGGGCAAGCCUGAGUGGUCCCAAGUCCAAGCCACACUGGACAUGUUCUUCACUGAGCCCUGGGACAAGAGGUCUCGUUGUCCCUCCAGCUCCAAUCCGGGGCCCAAUGGCAGUCAAGUGUCAGCUUACCUCUUUAGAGAGCCGGGUAAAGAGGUCUCCACCACGCAGGAAGUCCAGGAUAAGAUAGAGCUUUCCCUCCGUCUGGAAGGCUGGGGAGAGGGAAAAGGCAAUGGUGGAGCCAGCUGGGCCCUGGGCCCUGCCCCUCUACCCUAAGCUCCCUUUGUCUGCUGGGGUAGGGGUGACCUAGGGGAAAGGUAGUAGCCCACAGGCAAGGGCAAAGGCUGGUAGGUCGGGUGGGAGUUCAAGUAGGGUCUGUGAUCUCACCAUAGUGCAGCUUCACCACAAAUGGGUGGUUCACAUCUGCUAGGAUGUCUCUCUCCAUCUUGGUCCGAACGCGGUCACGCACUGGCCAGAAGAGAAACGCAGUCACAGAUAAUCUAGCCCCUCAAAACAGUCAUCCCCAAGCCCUGGCCAAGAAGGGCUCUCUCUUUCAUGUGUCCCUCCCAUCUCACGGCAGUGCCCAGAGUAGAGCCCUUGGCACCCUGCCCAUCCCACUAGUCCCAUCUCCUGUGCCCAGUUCGGCUCUGCUUGGGGAGGUGACCUUCACUCACCUUUCAGCGUUGCCUUCUUUAGUACCUUCAUGGCAUACAGGUGCCCACUAUCAGGUCGGGUGAUUUUCCGCACUAGGAAGACCUGAGAAGGCAAUGGGAAAAAGCAGAGAAAUUGGGGAGGGGACUAAGCCUAUCAGCUCCUAUCCUCUGGGUCCUAGGUUGACCUCUAAUUUUCCAGAGUCCUAGGUUGACCUUCGGGCCUCCCUGGGUACCAGAGUGACCUCCUGCCCUCCCCUCAGACCCAUCAACCCUUGCCCUCUGAUCCUGAACCCCAAAGUGACCCCUAACCCCCACCUCUGACAUGAGUUGCCCUCCCAGUUUGGGCUCAGGACUCACUUUGCCAAAGGAUCCCUGGCCCAGAACCUUGAGCAGCUCAAAAUGGGAUGGGUCGGCCUUCUCAGAGCCAGCCUUGACAUGGUGCGUGAUGGAGAUCUCCUUUAGGACGCCCUCAUCCUGAUGGAGGAACAGAGCUGGUGAAGACAGGCACUCAUCAAGUGGCAAGAGACAGGAACCCGACAACAGAGGCAGGUGGGACACAGAAAGAGAAAGCCAGUCAGUAAGGCCCAAGUAGACUGACAGAUACCCAGGCCAGUGCACAGAAAGCCAGGCCCGGAACUCAAGGGCAGAGCUCUGGGUUCUUGCUAGUCUUCUGGGAGGUGGGGUGGGGGAAGAGGUGAGGGGAUAUCACCUGCAAACAUCCUGCAUCUUAGAGAGCAGCCCAGUAUUCAUGGCAGACACACCUCUGAGGUUUCAUCCCAUGCCAGGGCCUGGAGAGGCCCCAGGACUAACACAGUGGGCUGAGAAUGCAGUCUGAUGGCUUUGACUCUGAUCCAGGUUUCCCAAAUCUGUUAUCCCCAUUUCAGAUACAGGAAACCAAGGGCCAGAGGACCGUGACUCACCCAGCCUGAGAAUGGACCAGUGACAGAGCCAGUGACACUCAAACCCUUCCCCUAGUUACUGCCUGGCAUGGGGUCAGCAGGCCUCAAGUGCCAGGAAAGGGUGAGCAGAUGAGGAAGCUGAGACUCAGAAGGGAGAACACCUCUGGCCAAAUAGUGAGGAUGGAGCCAGGACUCGAAUGCAGCUAGUCCAGCUGCCAUGAGGAAAUAAACCGAGGAAGUGCCUGGGUGAUGAGCAGAGUUCUAGCCUGGAUUCUGCUCCUGACCCUGUCGGGCUACAGUCCCCUUGCCUAAUAAGAAGGUCGAGAGGCGCCUGGCUGGCUGAGUCGGUAGAGCCUGCAACUCUCAAUGCCGGGGAUGUAAGUUGGAGCCUCACAAUUGGUGUUUAGAUUACUUAAAAAAAUAAAAUCUGUAGGGGCACCUGGGUGGCUCAGUCGGUUAAGCAGCUGACUUCAGCUCAGGUUGUGAUCUCUGCCAGGCAUGGAUUCCAUGUCGGUGGGCUCUGUGCUCAGUGGGGAGUCUGCUUCUCCCUCUCUCUCUGCCCCUCCCCCUGUUUGUGCACACUCUCUCCAAUAA